rnacentral:rRNA from 1 species
GAAUCUUGGACAAUGGGGGCAACCCUGAUCCAGCGAUGCCGCGUGAGUGAAGAAGGCUUUCGGGUCGUAAAGCUCUUUAGGUUGGGAAGAAGGUUAGUCGUUUAAGAGAUAGCUAACUUGACGGUACCAACAGAAUAAGCCCCGGCAAAACCUGUGCCCGCAGCCGCGGUAAUACAGAGGGUGCGAGCGUUAAUCGGAUUUACUGGGCGUAAAGGGCGCGUAGGUGGUUAAAUGAGUGUGAUGUGAAAGCCCCGGGCUUAACCUGGGAAGUGCAUCGCAAACGAUUUGACUGGAGUAGAUGAGAGGGUGAUGGAAUUUCCGGUGUAGCGGUGAAAUGCGUAGAUAUCGGAAGGAACGUCAAUGGCGAAGGCAGUCACCUGGCAUCAUACUGACACUGAGGCGCGAAAGCGUGGGUAGCGAACAGG